AUAAGAGGUCCCGCCUGCCCUGUGACAUAAAAGUUUAACGGCCGCGGUAUUUUGACCGUGCGAAGGUAGCGUAAUCACUUGUCUUUUAAAUGAAGACCAGUAUGAAUGGCAUAACGAGGGCCAAACUGUCUCCUUUUUCUAGUCAAUGAAAUUGAUCUGUCCGUGCAGAAGCGGACAUAAACCCAUAAGACGAGAAGACCCUAUGGAGCUUAAGACACUAGGACAGCCCACGUUAAGCCCCCUCCAUAAAGAGCACAAACUAAAUGGCCCCUGUCCCACUGUCUUUGGUUGGGGCGACCGCGGGGCAACACGAACCCCCCACGUGGAAUAGGGCAUUCCCCCUCAAAAACAGAGCCACAGCUCUAGCAUACAGAACCUCUGACCAAUAAGAUCCGGCACUGCCGAUCAACGGACCGAGUUACCCUAGGGAUAACAGCGCAAUCCCCUUUUAGAGCCCAUAUCGACAAGGGGGUUUACGACCUCGAUGUUGGAUCAGGACAUCCUAAUGGUGCAGCCGCUAUUAAGGGUUCGUUUGUUCAACGAUUAAAGUCCUACGUGAUC
rnacentral:rRNA from 1 species